GGAGGGCGCGGCCAAGCUCAGGACCAGCCCCGCGGGGGCGGGGCCCUGCCCUCACGGCGCAGAGCGGGGACGGAGGUGCUGUCCCCGAAAUGGUUUCUGACUCUUCCAUGUUACAACAUCACAGAAUCCUGGAAUCUUGGAACGGGUCAGUUUGGAAGAGGCCACAGAAGGUCAUCUGGUCCAGUCUCCCUCUCCAAGCAGGGUUUUCUGGAGUGCAUUAUGCAGAAUUUUGUUCUGUCCAGUCAGCUUUUGAAUACCUCUGGAGAAGACCACACUCUCUGGCCUCUCUCUUUAGUUCCCAAAACACUACCACCUAACCAGGCAAUUGGGAAAAAAGACAGAUCUGUUGAAAACUAAACUAACAGUAACAGGUGCUAUCAAAAUAUACAUUCAACUCACUUACUUUUAAGGAAAAGCCCAUCCUGAAGUGAUGAAAUGAGGAGGUAGCCUGGAGUGAUGCCAGUAUUUGCUGAUGUCAACACUGAGUCCUUGGCACAGGAGCUCACUGUGCAUGGAAGGCAACAAGGAUAUACAUCGCUGUCUA